GGGAGACAAGGAAUGCACAGGCAGCCAAAAUAACAGCUUUGAUCUCUCUUUAACUUUUUGUAAGGUUAAGUGAAUGCCAGGCAAAUGAAAGAUGCCAGGAGAAGAGCUCUGCUCCUGAAAGAUAAAGGAGAAAACUCUGCCCAAUCAAGGAGGCACUUCUGUCUAUACUGGAGUGUACUUCUCUAACAGGAAUGAAAGAAAAGUUUCCCUGAGGACACAGGAAUGCAGAUGGUCACUCUGAGCCACACCUGACCUCUCAAGUACAGGCUCUAGACUCGAAAGCAGGAAAUAGCAGGCUGCAUCUUCUCCUUCGCAACAAACUGUGAAGAGCUUCAGCAGGAGGGCUUGGCUUCAGGGAGAGGCAAUGUAUUGGAACACAUUGCAAAAAACACUUCAUGCAAGAAAAUGUUGGGAAGAUGUCUUAGGCUGACGACACAGUUCAGUUGCAAAGUGCAGUGCUGGACGAGUCUCACAGAAGGAACCUGACGCAGGUCUGCUGCAAUUUAUACCAGCUGCUAUAUAUAUAUGGAAGACCUGGGGAAGAACUAUGGUG
rnacentral:lncRNA from 1 species